rnacentral:tRNA from 1 species
UCCCAUAUGGUCUAGUGGUUAGAAUUUGGCGCUUUCACCGCCAAGGCCCGGGAUCAAUUCCCGGUGUGGGAA